UACGAAGGGUGCAAGCGUUGCUCGGAAUUAUUGGGCGUAAAGCGCACGUAGGCGGCUUGGCAAGUCGGAUGUGAAAUCCCUCGGCUCAACCAAGGAAGUGCAUCCGAAACUGCCGAGCUUGAGUACUUAAGAGGAUCGCGGAAUUCCCGGUGUAGAGGUGAAAUUCGUAGAUAUUAGGAAGAACACCAGUGGCGAAGGCGGCUCACUGGCCCGGUACUGACGCUGAGGCGCGAAAGCGUGGGGAGCAAACAGG
rnacentral:rRNA from 1 species